rnacentral:rRNA from 1 species
GGGGUAAAAGCCCACCAAGGCGACGAUCUGUAGCUGGUCUGAGAGGACGACCAGCCACACUGGGACUGAGACACGGCCCAGACUCCUACGGGAGGCAGCAGUGGGGAAUUUUGGACAAUGGGCGCAAGCCUGAUCCAGCCAUGCCGCGUGCGGGAAGAAGGCCUUCGGGUUGUAAACCGCUUUUGUCAGGGAAGAAACGGUCUGAACUAAUACUUCAGACUAAUGACGGUACCUGAAGAAUAAGCACCGGCUAACUACGUGCCAGCAGCCGCGGUAAUACGUAGGGUGCAAGCGUUAAUCGGAAUUACUGGGCGUAAAGCGUGCGCAGGCGGCUUUGCAAGACAGAUGUGAAAUCCCCGGGCUUAACCUGGGAACUGCAUUUGUGGCUGCAUGGCUAGAGUGCGGCAGAGGGGGAUGGAAUUCCGCGUGUAGCAGUGAAAUGCGUAGAUAUGCGGAGGAACACCGAUGGCGAAGGCAAUCCCCUGGGCCUGCACUGACGCUCAUGCACGAAAGCGUGGGGAGCAAACAGGAUUAGAUACCCUGGUAGUCCACGCCCUAAACGAUGUCAACUGGUUGUUGGACGGCUUGCUGUUCAGUAACGAAGCUAACGCGUGAAGUUGACCGCCUGGGGAGUACGGCCGCAAGGUUGAAACUCAAGGGAAUUGACGGGGACCCGCACAAGCGGUGGAUGAUGUGGUUUAAUUCGAUGCAACGCGAAAAACCUUACCUACCCUUGACAUGUCAGGAAGUUACCAGAGAUGGUUUCGUGCUCGAAAGAGAACCUGAACACAGGUGCUGCAUGGCCGUCGUCAGCUCGUGUCGUGAGAUGUUGGGUUAAGUCCCGCAACGAGCGCAACCCUUAUCAUUAGUUGCUACGCAAGGGCACUCUAAUGAGACUGCCGGUGACAAACCGGAGGAAGGUGGGGAUGACGUCAGGUCAUCAUGGCCCUUAUGGGUAGGGCUACACACGUCAUACAAUGGCCGGUACAGAGGGCUGCCAACCCGCGAGGGGGAGCUAAUCUCAGAAAACCGGUCGUAGUCCGGAUCGCAGUCUGCAACUCGACUGCGUGAAGUCGGAAUCGCUAGUAAUCGCGGAUCAGCUUGCCGCGGUGAAUACGUUCCCGGGUCUUGUACACACCGCCCGUCACACCAUGGGAGCGGGUUCUGCCAGAAGUAGUUAGCCUAACCGCAAGGAGGGCGAUUACCACGGCAGGGUUCGUGACUGGGGUGAAGUCGUAACAAGGU